rnacentral:rRNA from 1 species
GGGUGAGUAACGCGUAAGGAACUUGCCUCUUGGACUGGGACAACUGUUGGAAACGACAGCUAAUACCGGAUAUUAUGAGAUUCUCGCAUGAGAAACUUAUGAAAGCUAUAUGCGCCAAGAGAGAGCCUUGCGUUCCAUUAGCUAGUUGGUGGGGUAACGGCCCACCAAGGCGACGAUGGAUAGCCGGCCUGAGAGGGUGAACGGCCACAAGGGGACUGAGACACGGCCCUUACUCCUACGGGAGGCAGCAGUGGGGAAUAUUGGACAAUGGGCCACAAGCCUGAUCCAGCAAUUCUGUGUGCACGAUGAAGGUCUUCGGAUUGUAAAGUGCUUUCAGUUGGGAAGAAGAAAGUGACGGUACCAACAGAAGAAGCGACGGCUAAAUACGUGCCAGCAGCCGCGGUAAUACGUAUGUCGCAAGCGUUAUCCGGAUUUAUUGGGCGUAAAGCGCGUCUAGGCGGAAAAAUAAGUCUGAUGUUAAAAUGCGGGGCUCAACUCCGUAUUGCGUUGGAAACUGUUUUUCUAGAGUACUGGAGAGGUGGGCGGAACUACAAGUGUAGAGGUGAAAUUCGUAGAUAUUUGUAGGAAUGCCGAUGGGAGAAGUCAGCUCACUGGACAGAUACUGACGCUGAAGCGCGAAAGCGUGGGGAGCAAACAGGAUUAGAUACCCUGGUAGUCCACGCCGUAAACGAUGAUCACUAGGUGUUGG